CUGGAGAAAAAGAGGCUCAGGGGAGAUCUUAUCAAUCUUUACAACUACCUGAAAGAAAGUUGUAGCCAGGUGGAUGUCAGUCUCUUCUUCAG